rnacentral:tRNA from 1 species
AAAAAGAUAAGCUAAAUUAAGCUAAUGGGUUCAUACCCCAUACAUGAAAAAAAAAUUCUCUUUUUA